rnacentral:rRNA from 1 species
GACGAACGCUGGCGGCGUGCUUAACACAUGCAAGUCGAACGGAAAGGCCCUGCUUUUGUGGGGUGCUCGAGUGGCGAACGGGUGAGUAACACGUGAGUAACCUGCCCUUGACUUUGGGAUAACUUCAGGAAACUGGGGCUAAUACCGGAUAGGAGCUCCUGCUGCAUGGUGGGGGUUGGAAAGUUUCGGCGGUUGGGGAUGGACUCGCGGCUUAUCAGCUUGUUGGUGGGGUAGUGGCUUACCAAGGCUUUGACGGGUAGCCGGCCUGAGAGGGUGACCGGCCACAUUGGAACUAAGAUACGGCCCAGACUCCUACGGGAGGCAGCAGUGGGGAAUAUUGCACAAUGGGCGGAAGCCUGAUGCAGCAACGCCGCGUGCGGGAUGACGGCCUUCGGGUUGUAAACCGCUUUCGCCUGUGACGAAGCGUGAGUGACGGUAAUGGGGAAAGAAGCACCGGCUAACUACGU